GCGCCGAAGAAGGACGUGGCAAGCUGCGAAAAGCUGCGGGGAGCUGCGAGCAAGCGUUGAACCGCAGAUAUCCGAAUGAGGGAACUCACAUGCUGGGAGAGCAUGUACGCAUACAUGAAUAAAUAGUGUAUGCGGGGGAACCCGGUGAACUGAAACAUCUAAGUAACCGGAGGAAAAGAAAGUAAGAACGAUCUUCUAAGUAGCGGCGAGCGAAAGGGAGGGAGCCCAAACCAUUGAUUUACGGAUUGAUGGGGUUACGGACAGUCAGGAAUACAGGACAUGAUAGCCGAAUGGUUUAGGGAAAGCCAGCCGAAGGAGGUAAAAGCCCUGUAGGCGAAAUCAUGGAGAGUAUGGACUGGAUCCAGAGUACCGCAGGACACGAGGAAUCCGGCGGGAAGUCGGGGGGACCACCCCCCAAGGCUAAAUACGACUUGGUGAGCGAUAGCGAAUAGUACCGUGAGGGAAAGGUGAAAAGCACCCCGGGAGGGGAGUGAAAGAGAACCUGAAACCCUAUGUUUACAAGCACAGGGAGCACGUUAAGGGUGCGACCUGGUACUUUUUGUAGAACGGACCGGCGAGUUACGUUAUUAUGCGAGGUUAAGGUAUAGAGUACCGGAGCCGAAGCGAAAGCGAGUCUGAAUAGGGCGGAGAAGUAUAAUGACGUAGACCCGAAACCGUGUGACCUAUCCAUGGACAGGUUGAAGUGGGAGUAAAAUCUCAUGGAGGACCGAACCACACUGCCGUUGAAAAGGUAGGGGAUGAGCUGUGGAUAGCGGGGAAAUUCCAAACGAACACGGAUAUAGCUGGUUCUCCUCGAAAUAGCUUUAGGGCUAGCCUCGCAGGAGAGUGACGGAGGUAGAGCACUGAAUGGGCUAGGGGGCCACAAAGCUUACCGAACCUUAUCAAACUGCGAAUGCCGUACACUUGCUCUGCGGGAGUCAGACUGUGUGAGAUAAGUCUCACGGUCAAAAGGGAAACAGCCCAGACCAACAGCUAAGGUCCCGAAGUACAGGUUAAGUGGAGAAGGAUGUGCCACUGCGCAGACAACCAGGAUGUUGGCUUAGAAGCAGCCAUACAUUAAAAGAGUGCGUAAUAGCUCACUGGUCGAGUGGUGGUGCGCCGAAGAUGGACGGGGCUCAAACCUGACACCGAAGCUUUGGAUUUAUGGAGACAUAAGUGGUAGAGGAGCGAUGUAUGCGGGAGGAAGGAUGACCGGAAGGACAUUUGGACUGCAUAGAAGAGAGAAUGCCGGUAUAAGUAGCGAGAGUGAGGUGAGAAUCCUCACCGUCGAAAGCCAAAGGAUUCCUGAGGAAGGUUCGUCCCCUCAGGGUAAGUCGGGACCUAAGCCGAGGGCGGUAGAGCCGUAGGCGAUGGACAACUGGUAGAUAUUCCAGUACCGUCUAAUACACGGAUGGAGGAAGCAGUGACACAGGAGGAUAGUCAGAGCGCGUUGAUGGUAGAGCGCGUCCAAGCAGAGAGGCUGGCGUUUAGUAAAGAACGGACGCUGAGAGCUGGUCUGUGACGGGGAGUGAACUAAGUAACGAAGCUGAUGAAUUCACACUGGCGAGAAAAGCUGCUAACGAGUGUAAGAGACGCCCGUACCGCAAACCGACACAGGUAGGCGAGGAGAGAAUCCUAAGACGAACGAGAGAACCCUUGUUAAGGAACUCGGCAAAAUUACCCCGUAACUUCGGGAGAAGGGGUGCCUGCUGAGAGGCAGGCCGCAGAGAAGAGGCCCAAGCGACUGUUUAACAAAAACACAGGUCUGUGCGAAAUCGAGAGAUGACGUAUACGGGCUGACGCCUGCCCGGUGCUGGAAGGUUAAGGGGAAGAGUUAGGUGCGAACCGAAGCUUAGAACCGAAGCCCCAGUAAACGGCGGCCGUAACUAUAACGGUCCUAAGGUAGCGAAAUUCCUUGUCGGGUAAG
rnacentral:rRNA from 1 species